UUCAGUGAUGAAAACCGCUGCAUAGGAAGUGCCGUCUGAUGCGACAACUGACGAUUAUUGAGAGCGUUUCUGAGA
rnacentral:snoRNA from 1 species